rnacentral:rRNA from 1 species
CUUGGUCAUUUAGAGGAAGUAAAAGUCGUAACAAGGUUUCCGUAGGUGAACCUGCGGAAGGAUCAUUACAAGUGAGGCUACCGAACGUUGGAAACAGCGGUUAGGAGCUUACACCCACCCGUGUUUACAUACUAUUGUUGCUUUGGCGGGCCGUGGCCUCCACUGCGGGCUCCGCUCGUGUGUGCCCGCCAGAGAACCAAACUCUGAAUGUUAGUGAUGUCUGAGUACUAUCUAAUAGUUAAAACUUUCAACAACGGAUCUCUUGGUUCUGGCAUCGAUGAAGAACGCAGCGAAAUGCGAUAAGUAAUGUGAAUUGCAGAAUUCAGUGAAUCAUCGAAUCUUUGAACGCACAUUGCGCCCUGUGGUAUUCCGCAGGGCAUGCCUGUUCGAGCGUCAUUUAACCACUCACGCCUAGCGUGGUAUUGGGGCACGCGGUCUCCGCGGCCCUCAAAAUUAGUGGCGGCGCCGGUGGGCUCUAAGCGUAGUAAUUUCUCUCGCUAUAGGGUUCCGGUGGUUACUUGCCAAAACCCCCCAUUUUUUCUAGGUUGACCUCGGAUCAGGUAGGGAUACCCGCUGAACUUAAGCAUAUCAAUAAGCGGAGGA